UGUUAAGCUUAUAUUCUGUAUGGAGGUAAACUAGAUGAACGUGAGGAGCAGCGACAACAGGUUGUGAGGGAAGUUUUCGGGAAUCAUGCAAAAGUUGAGGAUCUAAGAGAAAAAAUGUGGCCUGAAUUC